CAUUUGUGCUAUGACAUACGAAAAUACGUAGUGGUAACUUCACAGUGGUGUGUAUAUAUAUCGUUCCCGCUCAUUUCUGCCAUACAAGACAUAGAUGUGGGUUGUGUUUCGAGCAUGUCGAAGAAAGGAUUGUUUCGAUGAUAUGACAAAGUGAGGUUACAAAUAUCAAAAGGCGAAAUAGAAUAUAGUCACGAAUAAUUAAAAUAACAAAAAUUCUAUCGCGUUCUACAUUUUUGGCAGUAGUUUAUAUAUGAAAAUUUUCUCACAAUAGAAAUACGAAAGUUAUCCAUCUCUAAAAAAAUUGUUUUCAAGUGAAACGCUAUGAAAUUGAUGCAAAGUCAUCAUAUAAUCCGAUAAAAACGAAGAUCGUAUUUUUUCGAUAAACUCAUCUUCUCGAGAAGAGUGGAGCAGAAAUCACAACAAGUGGAGCAACAAAAA